rnacentral:tRNA from 1 species
GUUGUCGUGGCCGAGUGGUUAAGGCGAUGAAAUGGAAAUCUUUUGGGAUCUUCCCGCGCAGGUUCGAAUCCUGCCGAUAUCG